AGCCAGACUCCUACGGGAGGCAGCAGUGGGGAAUAUUGCACAAUGGGGGAAACCCUGAUGCAGCGACGCCGCGUGAGCGAUGAAGUAUUUCGGUAUGUAAAGCUCUAUCAGCAGGGAAGAAAAUGACGGUACCUGACUAAGAAGCCCCGGCUAACUACGUGCCAGCAGCCGCGGUAAUACGUAGGGGGCAAGCGUUAUCCGGAUUUACUGGGUGUAAAGGGAGCGUAGACGGCUGUGCAAGCCAGAUGUGAAAGCCCGGGGCUCAACCCCGGGACUGCAUUUGGAACUGUGUGGCUGGAGUGUCGGAGAGGCAGGCGGAAUUCCUAGUGUAGCGGUGAAAUGCGUAGAUAUUAGGAGGAACACCAGUGGCGAAGGCGGCCUGCUGGACGAUGACUGACGCUGAGGCUCGAAAGCGUGGGGAGCAAACAGGAUUAGAUACCCGUGUAC
rnacentral:rRNA from 1 species